AUAAGUAGGGGCCUAGGAAUAUAAAAAUUUAGACUUUUAGUAAAUGGUUUACAUAACCUUUUGUCUUAAUUUGUCAUUCUUCAUACACAGGCACAAGCUAAUCAGUCUUCUCUACUUCCAGAAUUCUAAAUUAAUCUUCUCACUAAUGUCAUACAAGUCUAACAAGAGAAAAAGCAUCCUUAAGUCAGUCUAUUUAGAUAAACGCUUCAAGUCCCUAUGUAAGAACGUAUUCCACUAGCAAGCCAGUAAGUUUUUCCAAGGUCUCAUAAUCUUAAAUGAAACUGGAACCUUUCAUCUUAGACUUCAUCAAACUCAAUUUUUUCCCUUCUAGAUUCACUUUGUGUUUAUGCAUGCAUGCAUGCGUUCACACAAUUCUAUCAGCAGCUGUAAACUACCCACAUAUUUUCUUAAUCUCAUUUUUUCAGUUUUUCUUCAUCUUUAAAAGAUGUUACAUUUCAUUCCUGGUCAACUCUUAAAAAGAAUUAUGUAAUAUUGGGCCUUCAUAUUAAAGAGAGAGACUGGUUAUAAGAUCCUUUACAGUCCAUGCAUUUUAUUCUGAUGUCUAACCAGAUAGACACUAGCAAGCAAAACUUCCCUCUUAAUCCUGGACCAAAUGCAUAAUUUUACUGUCACUUUCAAAAACCUGUUAUGACUGAAUCAAAAUCCUUUUAAAGAAAGGAAAAAGCUCUUUUUGUGUCAAAUAGUUGAACAACAUGAAAACAAUAUGAGCCAGUUAAAGAUAGAUUGAAUUUUUACUUUACACAUAUGAAAAACAGUAAGGUUUGACUGCUGUGUAUGUUAUUCACGUUAAAAUGUGCUCAGUUAUUCACUAUUGUUAAUCCACAUAUAAUCAGUUACUAUCCCUGCUUAGACACACUAUGGAACUUGAAAUGCGCAAUAUUUACGUUGUUAGAGGCUUCUAUCCAAAUAUCUGCGUUCCUUUAAAAUGUGAACUAUUUGCUGUGAUUAACCAAAGGUAGAUUAUGUCAUCAGUGGACAUUUUAGCUUUAUGUAAACAAAUUUUUAAGAAAUGAAUAGAAAGGUGUCUUUUUCUUCGUGCAGUGCAAAAGCCUAAAGCUGUCAGUCAAAGGCCUAAGAAAUCCACAUUUGAAAAACGUGGAGAUCAUGAUUGGUAAGAAUACAUUCAUCUGAUAGUAUUGAGAAAAGUUGAAAAACAGCCUUCCAUAACACAUUAAACGUUUUAUGUAUGGAUGGCUGAUAGUAUUGAGAAAAGUUGAAAAACUGUUAGCCUUCCAUAACACAUUAAACGUUUUGUGUAUGGGUGGCUUAGGACAAUAAACAACAUCAUUAAUUUAAAGUAAAAUUAUGUCAGUCUGUUCAUAUUAACUUAUUUAAAUCAGUGAAAAUUUUAAUGAGAUGAAUAAAUGGAUGCUUUGGAAAUGCAGGAUUAUAAGAGGCCUAAAACUGCAUCUUGUUUCUUGUAACCCUUUUAAAACCAAUAUACCUGGCUAGGUGCAGUGGCUCAUGCCUGUAAUACCAACGGGGUAACACAGGGUUACGCCAUCUAUACAAAAAAAUAAAUGAGCUGGGCAAGAUGGCAUGCACCUGUAGUCCCAGCUGCUUGGUAGGCUGAAGGGGAAGGAUUGCUUGAGCCUGGGAGGUCAAGACUGCAGUGAGCCAAGAUCGCACCACUGCACUCCAGCCUGGGUGACAGAACAAGACUCUACCUCAAAAAUAAAAAAUAAAAAUCAAUAUAGUUUCAAUGAAGCAAAGUAUCUCAGGUAACAAUUUGAGCAUAACUUUAACCAUAACUUAUUAUAGCAUAAUAACAUUCAUUAGUAAUUCAGUAGCCGUAUGUGCCAGGCUGUGUUAGGUACUUUAUAUAUUGUUUAAUUUUAAAAAACUUGAGGAGUGUACAGAUUGGUAAGGUGACAUUGUAUCACAAAGCUAGUCUUUGAGUGCAAAGUUUUGUGGUUUUAUGCUAUGAUAUACUUUUAUCAUGGAAUUAAUUGUCUUAUUAAAUGUUUUGCCAGUGGUUCUUAAAGUGUGUUUCUGACAGCAGUAGCAUUGACUUCACUUAGAAACCUGUUAGAAAUACAAAUUAUUUGGCCCCACCCAACACUUGAGUCACAAACUUUGCAGAUGGGGCUCAAUCUGUUUUAACAAGCGCUUCAUGUAAUUUUGAUGCAGGCCUAGGUUUUUGAGCCACUGCAGUAUGCAUUUCUAUUUUUAAGCAAAGAUCUUGGACUUUCUUUUUGGACAUCGUAGAAAUAACAUGAACUUGUUUUUUUGUUUGUUUUUGUUUUGUUUUAAGCUCCUGAUCUUUGUUGGUUACACAAAGAUUGUAUCAGGAAAAGCCUCAGCAUGGACAUUGGCAUCCUGACAAAACCCCCAUUAAUUUAGUAUUCUCUCUGAAACUCAAAUGGAUUCUCAAGUCCAACAGACUGUGGAAUAAAAUCAUUGUUUUUCUGUAUUAAGGUUUAUCUCUGUUAUUGCCUGAAGACUUUUGGUAACAAUAAUGCGCUUUCGUCAAACUUUUAAGACUUGAUUGGAAAAAAUAAAUGUAUGUUUCAUCAGUUA